UGUUCUGUGGCUUAAUUAAUGCCAGACUAACGAUACGGAGUCGUGGGUUCGAAUCCCACCAAAACAA
rnacentral:tRNA from 1 species